rnacentral:rRNA from 1 species
UCGAACUCGGAGAUAGCUGGUUCUCCUCGAAAUAGCUUUAGGGCUAGCCUCAGAUUAAUCUAGCGGAGGUAAAGCACUGAAUGGGCUAGGGGCCUUACCAGGUUACCGAACCCUAUCAAACUCUGAAUGCCGCAUAGAUGAUGUCUGGGAGUCAGACAGUGUGAGAUAAGUUUCAUUGUCGAAAGGGAAACAGCCCAGAUCGCCGACUAAGGUCCCAAAAUCAUGGUUAAGUGGAAAAGGAUGUGGGUUUGCUAAGACAACUAGGAUGUUGGCUUAGAAGCAGCCACUCAUUGAAAGAGUGCGUAAUAGCUCACUAGUCGAGUGAGCCUGCGCCGAAAAUUAACGGGGCUAAACCAUGUACCGAAGUCGCGGAUUCACGCCAGUAGGCGUGAGUGGUAGAGGAGCUUAAUAUACGAGUUGAAGCAUGACUGGAAAGACAUGUGGAUUGUAUAUUAGUGAGAAUGCCGGAAUGAGUAGCGAGAGUGAAGUGAGAAUCUUUACCGCCGAAAAUCUCAGGUUUCCUGGGGAAGGUUCGUCCACCCAGGGUAAGUCGGGACCUAAGCCGAGGCUGAAGAGCGUAGGCGAUGGACAACAGGUUGAUAUUCCUGUACCACCGAUGUUCGUUUGAGAGAAGCGGGGACGCAGGGGGAUAAGUCGUGCCGGCUGCUGGAAUAGCCGGUCCAAGCGAGGUAGAAAGUCCUGUAGUGAAGUACGCAGGAUGAUUCGAAGACGUGAUGGGGAGGGAAAUUAGAGUACCGAAGUGACGGAUUCCGCACUGACGAGAAAAGCCGCUAUCGAGAACAAAGGUGCCCGUACCGCAAACCGACACAGGUAGAUGAGGAGAGAAUCCUAAGGCGAUCGGAAGAAGGGUUGUUAAGGAACUCGGCAAAUUGAUCCCGUAAGUUAGCAAGAAGGGAUGCUCUUGGCAACAAGAGCCGCAGAGAAUAGGCCCAGGCAACUGUUUAUCAAAAACACAGGUCUCUGCUAAAUCGUAAGAUGAAGUAUAGGGGCUGACGCCUGCCCGGUGCUGGAAGGUUACGGGGAAUUGUUAGCGUAACAGCGAAGCAAUGAACUUAAGCCCCAGUAAACGGCGGCCGUAACUAUAACGGUCCUAAGGUAGCGAAAUUCCUUGUCAGGUAAGUUCUGACCCGCACGAAUGGCGUAAUGAUCUGGGCGCUGUCUCAACAGCCCAUCCGGUGAAAUUGUAGUACUCGUGAAGAUGCGAGUUACCCGCGACUAGACGGAAAGACCCCAUGGAGCUUUACUGUAGCCUGAUACUGUGUUUCGGUAUUUCAUGUACAGGAUAGGAGGGAGGCUUUGAAGCAAGGACGUCAGUUCUUGUGGAGCCACCGUUGGGAUACCUCUCUUGAAGUACUGGAACACUAACCAGAAACCGCGACCCGGUUUUGGGACAAUGUCAGGUGGGCAGUUUGACUGGGGCGGUCGCCUCCAAAAGAGUAACGGAGGCGCCCAAAGGUCUCCUCAGCACGGUUGGAAAUCGUGCAUUGAGUGUAAAGGCAUAAGGAGGCCUGACUGCGAGACAAACAAGUCGAGCAGGUACGAAAGUAGGGCUUAGUGAUCCGGCGGUAUGAGAGUGGAAUUG